CCGGCCCGCGACUGGAGGAAGGGUUGCGAGUCUAGGAGCUGGCAGGGUCGUCGGCGCCCAGCACUCCCCCCGCCCCCCACGGGAGGCUGAGGCCGGGGGACCGCCAGUCCGGGGUCACCCCCAGCGUCCGCGUCCGGCCGCACGCCCCGGCCACCCACGGAUUGGAUCGGCUGAGUCUGGGGUCGGGAGAAAGAACGAACAAACGAAGGAAUGUGUGAGGGGCGGCCGGCAGGACGGGGGGUGGAGGACGGAGCUCGGAUACCCCAGGACCGUCCCUGCGGGACCCUCGGUGCGCCUCGGUUUCCUCUUUGGGGCACUCGAGCCCCUGUGUGCGCGUCUGAAUACUUCUGAACCAGGAAGUGUCUACAAAUCGAUGGGGCGUCGUGGCUUAACUGCAAGGUUUCUGUCUUUCCUCCUGGUGCUUAAAAUCCUGGUGGCCUUCAUACAUCCCCGGCAUUUGAAAGUCAUUUCCUCAACGCCCACCCUGUUUGUGCCAGGCCCUGCUCCCAUGUGGCACACCUCCCACUCCCAUUUACAGGGAGCAAGUCGUGCCCGGAGGACUUGCUCACACACUGCAAACGGUAAACUUAGGGCCUGUGCCCUACGUCCCCUCCAGGUCCCAAGGACUGAGCUGGGACGUGCCGGGGUUCGACACACCCGCACUGGAUUCUUUGGGCCGCAACCAUGAGAGGCGUUGGGGAGUGUCACCGCCUCCGGGAGAGCCCUGGACACGGGAGGACACGCGAGCUUCUGCCACUCUCUCAAAGUCACAUGCUUGCAUCUGCUGAUUCCCAGCCUGGAGCUUUAGGAGGCAGAACGGACCAACCAGACACUCCGCUGCUGCUUCAGAACCCAGGCAGGUGGUGACUGGUGAGGAAAAGUGGCACAGGCAGCAAGGGAGGCCGAGAACCUCCGUUCUCCGAACACCCCACCGCCAUCCUGGGUCUCACCCCCUGGGGACCGUCCAUGGGAGCAGACCUGAGCCUGGAUCCAAGCCCACCACCACAGGAGGGACUGGGGGCAGCGUGCACAGGCAGUACCCCCCACAGACAUCUUCACACUCCAGCCACCACUGCCCACCCUCCCAACUUUACUGUGCGGGGGGGGGGGGGGGACGGUAAGCCCACCCGCUGGCCCCCCAAGAUGGAGGGGAGACACAGG